GGUGCUGCCACCGAGUGUACACGCAUAUAGCAUACGAGGGUCUCUCACGAAACCUUGAAAAUAUCACUUUUCUGACUACUUUCCCGCACUUUCUCGGCCACCAAACAUCCCAGUCAUGUUCCUACUGAACCAAAUUCUUCUGGUUUCUUAGGAAAAUUGCUCUCAUUACUCUCUGAUCAUAAAGUAAAGGGAGGCAUUACUGUAGCAGAGAGGCAGACAGCCGGACAUGGCAGACUUAGAAAAUUUGCUCCUUGAGGCAGCAGGAAGAACCAAUUCAGCUGGGAAAAAACGGCAGCGACUUCCACCGAGGAAGCAACAUGGAGGUUCCUAUUCUGAUGACGGAAGUGACUCCAGGGAUGAAGACUCUGAUUAUGAUCGUAGUUAUGCAAGCAGGAAGCCCUCUCAAGUUCCUCUGAAGAAGAGGCUUGAACAUGAAAUGAGCAGUGAUGAAGAAAGCGAUUAUGGCGAUGGUUCUGACCAUGAGGGUGAAAACAGUGAUGACUCUGAUGUUGGCCCUGAUCUAUACAAGAAUGAAGCUGACCGAAAAUGGCUGGCAGAGUUGAGUGAACUUGAAAGAGAGAUGAUUUUGACAGAUCGAGCAGAAAAGAAAGAUGGUAAGGUUUUUAUGGAGAAAUUGAGAUCAAAGAGAGGCAAUGCAAGAUCUACCCAAUCAAGGAAAGAGACUUCUCCUCUUCCAUUGUCUCGCGGUGUACGCUCAUCAGCUAGGACUGCUGACAAGUCAGCGGCUAUGGACGAUGCAUUGAAUCAAUUACGAGCAAAACGUCUGAAGCAACAAGACUCGAAGGCUCACCAUAAGUUGAGGGACGCAUCAAGAGCAAGUGAAGGUAGCCAGGGUACUUCACCGAUCAAGAGCAAGUGGAGUCUGAGUAACUCCAGUCAAAUUGAGAAUGCAAGUGGGUUACACAGUGAAGACGAAGCAUCAAGUGCAGAUGGUGAAUUGCUUGACAGCGAUGAAGACGUGUCAGAGCCACCAACAUUUCAGGAGAUAAAGGAAAUUACUAUCCCAAGGUCAAAACUUGCAAAAUGGUUUAUGGAACCAUUUUUUGAGGAGUUAAUUGUGGGUUGCUUUGUUAGGGUUGGAAUUGGGAGAUCAUCAAGUGGUCCUGUCUACAGGCUUUGCAUGGUUCAGAAUGUGGAUGCCAUGAAUCCUGACCGGCAGUACAAGCUAGAGGGUAAAGUCACACAUAAAUAUUUGAAUUGUGUUUGGGGCAGUGAAAGUUCUGCUGCCAAGUGGCAGAUGGCUAUGGUCUCAGAUUCUGCUCCCCAGGAGGAGGAGUUUAAACAGUGGUUUAAGGAAGUAGAGCGUACUGCUGGCCGAAUGCCAAGCAAACAAGAGGUAUUAGAAAAGAGGGAGAUGCUUCAAAAAUCGAAUACAUAUGUUUACUCAGCAACCACUGUGAAGCAAAUGCUGCAGGAGAAAAAGUAUGCCUCAUCAAGGCCAGUAAAUAUUGCAGUUGAGAAGGAUAAAUUGAGGAGGCAGUUGGAAAUUGCAGAAAGUAAGGAUGAUGAGGUGGAAGUUGAGAAGAUCAAGACAAGGCUCCAGGAAUUGGAAGCAUCCAGGCAAACCCAGGGGAAAGAUACCAAGGCUUUUAGAUUAUCUGAGAUGAACAGGAAGAACAGGGUUGAGAAUUUUAAAAAUGCUUCAGGAUUGAAACGAGUGAAUAUGAAUCUGAAAGCUGGGGAGGCUGGUUAUGAUCCAUUCUCAAGACGAUGGACUAGAUCGAGAAAUUACUAUGUUGCAAGGCCUGGAGGAGGAGGUGAUGAAGCUGCUGAGGCAACAGACAGAACUGCAGGUGUAGCCAGUAAUGAGGACUGAUACAAGUGCUCCAGUAGACAAAGGGACAGAGUCAAAUAUGCUGCACAAUUUCGACCUGCCAAUCUCGUUGGCUCCACUUCAGAAGCUUGGUGGACCUCAGGGCGCUCAGAUUGCAUACAUGACGAGGAAACAAAAGAUAGAAGCAACAGUUGGGUGCCGAGUGCGGGACGACGGGAAGAAGCAUGCUUCGACACUGUCUGUUAAUGACUAUAUCAGAAGAAGAGGGCUUCUCAACUAGAUGCUCCACCCUGGUAUCCGUUUAAGUAGUGGUUUGUAAGCUUUGCUUCUUUAGUUGGGUGAAGCCGCUCUUAUGGGUUUGACUUGUUAUCGUUAGUCUAAAUUUAUAUGCACCUUUCUAGGACUGUUUUUUCCCCCAACUUUCAGUCCAUUUUCUCUAAGUCUAUCAUAUUGCAUUAUCUG